UACAGAGGGGGCAAGCGUUGUUCGGAAUUACUGGGCGUAAAGGGCGCGUAGGCGCCUUCUAAGUCGAACGUGAAAUCCCCGGGCUCAACCCGGGAACUGCGUCCGAUACUGGAAGGCUUGAAUCCGGGAGAGGGAGUGUGGAAUUCCAGGUGUAGCGGUGAAAUGCGUAGAUAUCGAGAGGAACACCUGCGGCGAAGGCGGGUUGCUGGGCUGACACUGACGCUGAGGCGCGAAAGCUAGGGGAGCGAACGGG
rnacentral:rRNA from 1 species